rnacentral:rRNA from 1 species
AGAGUUUGAUCCUGGCUCAGAUUGAACGCUGGCGGCAGGCCUAACACAUGCAAGUCGAGCGGAUGAGUGGAGCUUGCUCCAUGAUUCAGCGGCGGACGGGUGAGUAAUGCCUAGGAAUCUGCCUGGUAGUGGGGGACAACGUUUCGAAAGGAACGCUAAUACCGCAUACGUCCUACGGGAGAAAGCAGGGGACCUUCGGGCCUUGCGCUAUCAGAUGAGCCUAGGUCGGAUUAGCUAGUAGGUGAGGUAAUGGCUCACCUAGGCGACGAUCCGUAACUGGUCUGAGAGGAUGAUCAGUCACACUGGAACUGAGACACGGUCCAGACUCCUACGGGAGGCAGCAGUAGGGAAUAUUGGACAAUGG